UUCGUAUCGAUUAUUUGUGAC
ensembl:piRNA 21ur-1025 ncRNA